UACAGAGGGUGCGAGCGUUAAUCGGAAUUACUGGGCGUAAAGCGUGCGCAGACGGUCAUGUAGGUCGGGUGUGAAAGCCCCGGGCUCAACCUGGGAAUUGCAUUCGAGACUGCAUGGCUAGGGUGCGGAAGAGGGAAGCGGAAUUUCCGGUGUAGCGGUGAAAUGCGUAGAUAUCGGAAGGAACACCAGUGGCGAAAGCGGCUUCCUGGUCCAGCACCGACGUUCAGGCACGAAAGCGUGGGGAGCAAACAGG
rnacentral:rRNA from 1 species